rnacentral:rRNA from 1 species
GACUAUGGCCACGCCACCCUGAACGUGCCUAAUCUCAUCUGAUCUUGGAAGCUAAGCAGGGCCGGGCCUGGUUAGUACUUGGAUGGGAGACCAUCUAGGAAUACCAGGUGCUGUAGACA